rnacentral:rRNA from 1 species
AUUGAACGCUGGCGGCAUGCCUUACACAUGCAAGUCGAACGGUAACGCGGGGCAACCUGGCGACGAGUGGCGAACGGGUGAGUAAUGCAUCGGAACGUGCCCAGUAGUGGGGGAUAGCCCGGCGAAAGCCGGAUUAAUACCGCAUACGACCUACGGGUGAAAGGGGGGGAGCGCAAGACCUACCGCUAUUGGAGCGUCCGAUGUCAGAUUAGGUAGUUGGUGGGGUAAAGGCCUACCAAGCCGACGAUCUGUAGCUGGUCUGAGAGGACGACCAGCCACACUGGGACUGAGACACGGCCCAGACUCCUACGGGAGGCAGCAGUGGGGAAUUUUGGACAAUGGGCGCAAGCCUGAUCCAGCCAUGCCGCGUGCGGGAAGAAGGCCUUCGGGUUGUAAACCGCUUUUGUCAGGGAAGAAAUCUUCUGGGUUAAUACCUCGGGAGGAUGACGGUACCUGAAGAAUAAGCACCGGCUAACUACGUGCCAGCAGCCGCGGUAAAAC